UUUAGGAAGGAUUUCGACGGUUUCGGUGACGGCAAAUGGCCUGAUCCGGAUGAAACGGGAAUCCGGUGUCUGCGUCUGACGCCAAUCCGGAGCUGCCCCCGCAACUGUAAACGGCGAGCGACUGCACGAAAACCACUGGUCAGGGAAGACCGGGAAGGGGUGCAGGAGGCAACCAGCCGUGAGCCAGGAGACCGGCCGUCAAUUGUGCAACCCU
rnacentral:ncRNA from 2 species